rnacentral:rRNA from 1 species
GAGAGGAGGUCAUACCCAGUUCCAUUUCGAACCUGGAAGUCAAGCUCCUCAUCGCCGAUAAUACUGCAGGGUCCCCUUGUGGAAACGUAGGUCGCCGCCAACU